rnacentral:rRNA from 1 species
UGGUUAAACAAAUAAGGGCGUAUGGUGGAUGCCUCGACAUAGAGAGCGAUGAAGGGCGUAGCAGCCUGCGAUAAGCCUCGGUGAGGUGGCAAGCAACCUUUGAUCCGAGGAUUUCCGAAUGGGGAAACCCAGUCCGUUGGAGACGGACUAUCAUGCACUGAAUUCAUAGGUGUAUGAAGAUAACCCAGGGAAUUGAAACAUCUUAGUACCUGGAGGAAAAGAAAAAAUUUCCCGCCUGUGGCGGGAUCAUUCCCUGAGUAGUGGCGAGCGAAAAGGGAUCAGCCCAAACUUAGUCAGUGUUGUGUUUAUGAAGCUGUUUUUUAACAUGUGGAUUUAAACACUUAAAGGUGUAAGCCGUUGCUGGCUAGGGGUUGUAAGGUAGUAACAUUAGAUUGCUUACACAAUCUAGACAAAGCAACCAUUUAUAACUUCCAUAGCAGAAUCCUUUGGAAAAAGGAGCCAUAGCGGGUGAUAGCCCCGUAUCGCGAAAUGGGUUAUAACUUUGUGGUUACUAUCCUUGAGUAGCACAGGACUCGAGAAAUCCUGUGUGAAUCUACCAUGACUACGUGGUAAGGCUAAAUAUUACUCUAUGAUCGAUAGUGAACAAGUACCGUGAGGGAAAGGUGAAAAGCAUCCCGGUGAGGGAGAUGAAAUAGUAUCUGAAACCAUACGUUUACAAAGAGUCGAAGCCUCUUUAGGGGGCGACGGCGUGCCUAUUGAAGAAUGAGCCAACGAGUUAUAGUAUGUUGUUUGUUUAAGUCCCAAAAGGACGAAGGCAAAGUGAAAGCGAGGGUUAACUGCCCGUUUUUUAGAUAAUUAGUUGCCAGCUAAUUUUUUAGCUGGUGUCUAAUUAUCUAUUUACAGCAUACUAUAGACCCGAAGCCGAGUGAGCUAACCAUGGCCAGGGUGAAGCUAGUGUAACAACUAGUGGAGGCCCGCACCCUAGCGCUGUGCAAAACGCAGGGAUGAGCUGUGGUUAGAGGUGAAAUGCUAAUCGAACUCGGCAAUAGCUGGUUCUCCUCGAAAUAGCUUUAGGGCUAGCCUCUACGAAUGUCCUCGGGGGUAGAGCACUGAAUGGGGGCAGGGGUUUUUACCUACUGUUCCUAAUCAAACUCCGAAUACCGAGGUAACUUAUCGUAGGGAGUCAGACUAUGGGGGCUAAGCUCCAUUAGUCAAAAGGGAAACAGCCCAGACCGCCAUUUAAGGUCCCUAAAUCCAGAUUAAGUGUAAAAGGUGGUAAAAUGGCUUUUACAACCAGGAGGUUGGCUUAGAAGCAGCCAUCCUUUAAAGAAAGCGUAAUAGCUCACUGGUCAAGCUGUUUUGCGCCGAAAAUGUAUCGGGGCUAAAUCUGGUACCGAAAAUGCGGCUUAGUCGUUUUCGAACGGCUAGGGGUAGAGGAGCAUUUUAUAACUGCUGAAGCAGUUUUGCGAGAAACUGUGGAGGUUAUAGAAGAGAGAAUGUUGGCAUAAGUAGCAAAAAUGUGGGUGAGAACCCCACACACCGUAAGUCUAAGGGUUCCUGGGCAACGCAAAUCGACCCAGGGUUAGUCGGUCCUAAGGCGAGGCCGAAAGGCGUAGCCGAUGGAUGAGCUGGUUAAUAUUCCAGCACUACUAUUAGUUUUCGAUGGGGUGACGUGGUUUAUGAGAUUAAGCGUUUUUUGGCUAUAGGCGUUGCUGGUGAUUGAGUGGCGGAUGGAAAUGCACCGCAUAAUCUCAAGACCUGGCAAAAGGGAAAGCUUUGCAGACCCGAUUUAGUCAAUUAAGCCACCUAGAAAAACCUCUAGAGCUAAGCUAAUAGUAACCGUACCGUAAACCGACACAGGUAGACGAGGCGAGUAGCCUCAGGUGUACGAGAGAACCUUCGUUUAGGAACUCGGCAAAACAGCGGCCGUAAUUUCGAGAUAAGGCCUUCCCGUCUUUUGGCGGGACGCAGCGAAAGACCCCAAGCGACUGUUUACCAAAAACACAGGUCCCUGCGAAAGCGUAAGCUGAUGUAUAGGGGCUGACGCCUGGCCAGUGUCCGAACGUUAAGGUAAGGAGUGCAAGCUCCGAACCGAAGCGCGGAUGAACGCCGGCCGUAACUAUAACGGUCCUAAGGUAGCGAAAUUCCUUGUCGGGUAAGUUCCGACCUGCACGAAUGGCGUAACGAUUUGGGGGCUGUCUCAACGAAGGACUCGGCGAAAUUGCAAGACGAGUAAAGAUGCUCGUUACCCGUAGCCGGACGAAAAGACCCCGUGAAGCUUUACUACAGCUUGAUAUUGGAUUAGGGUUAGACAUGUUCAGCAUAGGUGGGAGCCUUGGCAUCAGUGAGAUACCACCCUUGUCUAAUUUUAAUUCUAAUCUGAAUCCGUGAAUCCGGAUUUGGAGACAGUAUCUGGUGGGUAGUUUAACUGGGGCGGUUGCCUCCCAAAAAGUAACGGAGGCGUUCACAAAGGUCAGCUAAGUUCCGAUGGAAACGGAACUGAUAGUGUAAAGGCAUAAGCUGGCUUUACUGCAAUUCCUGCAAGAAGAGCAGUUGCGAAAGCAGGACUUAGUGAUCCGACCGUGCGAUGUAGGCCGGCGGAAGCUCAACGGAUAAAAGCUACUCCGGGGAUAACAGGCUAGUCUCCCCCAAGCGUCCACAGCGACGGGGAGGUUCGGCACCUCGAUGUCGGCUCGUCCUAUCCUGGGGCUGUACAAGGUCCCAAGGGUUUGGCUGUUCGCCAAUUAAAAGGGCACGCGAGCUGGGUUCAGAACGUCGUGAGACAGUUCGGUCUCCUAUCCGCUACGGGCGUUGAAAUUUGAGAGGGCCCAUUCCUAGUACGAGAGGACCGGAAUGGACGCACCACUAGUGUACCAGUUGUUCUGCCAAGGGCAUUGCUGGGUAGCUACGUGCGGUUUGGAUAAACGCUGAAAGCAUCUAAGCGUGAAGCCGUCCUCAAGAUUAGAUUUCUUAGGAUCCUGGGAGAUGACCAGGUUGAUAGGCGCUAGGUGUAAGAUUGGUGACAAUUUUAGCCAAGGCGUACUAAUAUUCCGUUUGU